rnacentral:rRNA from 1 species
GACGAACGCUGGCGGCGUGCCUAAUACAUGCAAGUAGGACGCAGUUGCGAACGGGUGAGUAACGCGUAGGUAACUACCUAUUAGAGGGGGAUAACUAUGGGAAACGAUAGCAAAUACCGCAUACUAGUAGAUGGACCUGCGUUGUAUUAGUUAGUAGGUAGGGUAAUGGCCUAACUAGGCAACGAUACAUAGCCGACCUGAGAGGGGGAGCGGACAAACUUGGACCGAGACACGGCCCAGAGUCCUACGGGAGGCAGCAGUAGGGAAUCGUCGGCAAUGGGGGGAACCCUGGACGAGCAACGCCGCGGGAGUGAAGAAGGUUUUCGGAUCGUAAAGCGCUGUUCGUAAGGAAGCGGUACUUAACCAGAAAGGGACGGGUAACUACGUGCCAGCAGCCGCGGUAAUAC